GCCAACAUAACAUAGUGGUUUGAGUGUUGGACUAUAACUCCGGAGGCCAGGGUUCAAUUCCCAACCCAGUCA
rnacentral:tRNA from 1 species